rnacentral:lncRNA from 1 species
UGAAAAUGAGUGCGACUCGGCGUUUAAUAAAGGUAGCCAUGCUGAGCAGGGCUUCGGAGGACAGGCUCGGAAGGGAGUGGGCCGGGGAAGCCACACGCCCAGGAACCCUUGGCUGGGCACAAAAGGAAACUGACCGGGACUCACCUGGGUCACGGCUGCCACCCUGCGGACAGGAAGCUUGGAAGGUGUAUUUUUGUUUUUACCUGCAUGUCUGCAUCAAGUGCGUGCAGUGCCUGUGGAAGCUGAAAGAGGUCGGACGCAUUGGAACUGGAGUUACAGAUUGUUGUGAGCCACCAAGUGGGUGUUGGAUUUCCAGUUAGCACCAUGGCUCAGUGGGUAGAGAAGCUGAAAAGCCUGGUCAUCUGAGUCUGAUCCCUGGAACCCACAUAAAGCGGAAGGAAGGAAUCCAGUGCACAGAACCGUCCUCUCACUUCCACACGAGUGAUUUUGGCCCCCGCGUGUGCACACACACUGCGUUUACAUACACAACAAUAAGUAAAUCAGCUAUAGUUCUU